rnacentral:misc_RNA from 1 species
GGACUUGGAUGUUGUUGUGUUCAACGACUCAUCUUAAAUGCUUCAGUGUACCCUGCUUUGCAGCGUAUCAGUGUGAUAAACAUCUUCACUGUUAAGUCUUUCGAGACACGCUUGUGUUGUGGGCUCUAUGCUUCCAACCGUCUUUUGGACAAUCUCUGACAAUUUGACCUCAAAUCGGGUGGGACUACCCGCUGACUUAA